UUUCAGAGGUAGAAACAUUUCUGGAUGACCUAUCCAUGGCUGAACUGCCACAAAACUUCAACAUGCGACGGCAAAAACUCGAAUCCAAAGUGAAGAUGCUCCGAGCAAAAUAUCACCUGCACUUACACAGAAUGUCUUUAGCCUCGCUACGGUUUGCGUGCGAUCCUUUUCCGAAAGAUCUCGAAGUUAACAAGCGACCUCGUUCGCUGACGUCACCCGAUACCAUGACAACGUAUCUCCCGGACGUACCGGAAGAGGAGGAGGCGUCUUCUCCGGGACCUGAGGCGAAAAUAUUGGACCAAAGCAUCGUUAUAUGUGAUGAUAAUGAAAAUAUUAUCGAUGGUCUACGGCCGCGUUCUGCAUCUUUUCCAUUGACAUUGUAAAAUAUGGUUUAGGAUUAGGUUUUCAAACUGGAAUCUAUUGGUGGGGCUCUAUCAGUGAACUCUAUAGGUAAACUGGAACGAUAACUUCCUUUGAUCGGUUGAGCCAAGCUGCGUGGGAUAAAUUAACUUUCAAAAGGACUAGGGAGAGUUUGAGGAGCGGGAAAUUCAGUCAAAACUCAAAAGUUUGAUUUUGAGCAAAAAUUAGCAAGAAAAAGUACUUUUUAAUUGUAAAGAUUCAAAUCUAGUUUUCUGGAUAGUCAGUAUUUUACAUCCACUAACAGCAAAAACCUCCUGGGUAACAGUUUCCUAUUCAAAAUAUUACACAAGUUUGAACGUACCGAAAAAAACUUCGCACUUUGACUCCUGAGAAAAGAUCUUUAAAACUGCUCUACGUUUCGGAAACAUGUUUUGUAUUAAAUUUCAAGUAUUGUUCAAAGUUUUUAGCGUUUUUCCUUGUUGAAAUACAGCUAUUUAGUGCUCGAAAACAGAUGUCUUUUAGGCGGCGUAUUUUCCAACAUGGCGGCCGUCAAUUUGGCUUCCAAAGAUGGCCGGCCAAGUUAUCGUUCCAGUCCUUUUAGAGUUCACUCGGCUCUAUCAGAGCAAUUUGGAGUUUCGACUGGCCAUCCAAAUGACGUGUUCUCAACUGAGCCCAAAUUGCAGAUGGGUCAUAGCAUGUAGCUUAGGGAUUGGUGGAUUUUUGGGACACCCUGCAUUUUCUAACUUAAAAGCAAGUCAACCAUGGGGAAACUAACUGAUUUUUGAGCAAUUUUUGCUGAUAAUCACAUCAUGAUUGAACAGUUGAACAAUUUCAUAUUCUAAUUCUUCCAAUGUCAGCCUAAUGUUAUAGUUCAACGGCCAUUUGCACGUGCCCCUCAUUUUCUGGACAGUAGUAAUGUACUAAAUAAAUUGCGUCAACUGGCCGACGCAUCAUUUGGAUGCGCAGUCGCAACAUUGGUCUAUAAGUAUUACACAGAACAGCAGUGGUACUACACAGGCGUGCGGGCGGUUAUAGAAGGAACACAUCUCUCUAUACAGACUCGCGAAAAUACAAAGUGAAUCUUUAAACUAUAAAUAAAAAUAUAGAACCAUAUUUAUGAAUUUUUCUGGGAUUUCAUUCUUGAAAAUUCAUCGAAAACUCCUUAAUACAUCCUUUCUCGUACAUGGGUAAAUAUCAAGAUUUUGUAGUGCCAUCUCCAGGGACGCCGGAACUGGGGGGGCAGGAGGGGCAGCCGCCCCCGUUGCCCUUUACCAGGAGGGGCAAGGGGGGCAAAGGUGCCCUUUCAAUUUAAAGGAUUGCCUUGGUGAAAUAGCGAAUUGUCAGAAAUGUUAGUGCAAUUCGUUUACGAAUUUGAUUCAGAAAACGCAAGAAAUGCAGUCAUCGAGCUUCAAGAAUAGCACAAUCGCCUGGCGGAGAACCCCCUCACACCCCUAUCAUCCAAUAAAUAGCAAAUAUGAUUAGGUGAAGUUCAACUCCCGAUGUGUUGCAAAAAUCUCUUAGUAUAUAUCAAUUCAAAAGUGCCCUUUCACGAAAAUCUGCCCCCUUGCCUUCAUAUCGUUCCGGCGUCCCUGGCCAUCUCCCUCGAUUGAGUACAUACAUACAUACUUACAUACAUGACUUUAUUUAAACAUGGAGAACCAUCAGUACAUAAUUAUGAUAAUUAGCUAUUUACAAAUAAAAACAAUUAAUAUAGGUUAAGGAAUUAAUUAAGGAAGAAGACAAGAUUGAAGGGAAGAAGGAGAAGAGGUACUGUUCUACUUGGUUGCCGUGUGGGAGUCGGUAAUACUGGAAGAAUAUAGAGAUUUAAUCUAAGAGAUUCAGGCAAGCUGUUCCAAAGUGAUGCUCCACUAUAACUGAACGAGUGCUUAAGAUAAUCAGUAUUGGGCUUAGGAAUAAACAACUUGCCAUUAGAAUUUCUUAGUGAAUAUUGACAAUUCCUGGAUGAAAACAAUUCUUGUAAGUACUGGGGAGAUUGACCAUUAAGAGUUUUAAACAUAACAACAGCUUUUUGUUUAUGACGGUUAAUUGCAGUUUCUUGGUCAAUGUCAUUUGACAAAACUGGGGGGUUCGGGCGUCCGUUGACAUGGUCCCCCGGGAAAUGUUUCUAUUUUUAAGGAAAGCCAGA
rnacentral:lncRNA from 1 species